rnacentral:rRNA from 1 species
AGUGAACGCUGGCGGUAGGCCUAACACAUGCAAGUCGAACGGCAGCACAGUAAGAGCUUGCUCUUACGGGUGGCGAGUGGCGGACGAGUGAGGAAUACAUCGGAAUCUACUUUUUCGUGGGGGAUAACGUAGGGAAACUUACGCUAAUACCGCAUACGACCUACGGGUGAAAGCAGGGGAUCUUCGGACCUUGCGCGAUUGAAUGAGCCGAUGUCGGAUUAGCUAGUUGGCGGGGUAAAGGCCCACCAAGGCGACGAUCCGUAGCUGGUCUGAGAGGAUGAUCAGCCACACUGGAAGUGAGACACGGUCCAGACUCCUACGGGAGGCAGCAGUGGGGAAUAUUGGACAAUGGGCGCAAGCCUGAUCCAGCCAUACCGCGUGGGUGAAGAAGGCCUUCGGGUUGUAAAGCCCUUUUGUUGGGAAAGAAAAGCAGCAGGUUAAUACCCCGCUGUUCUGACGGUACCCAAAGAAUAAGCACCGGCUAACUUCGUG